GGCGUAGGUGGCAAGGCAAGCCAGAAGUGAAAACCCGGGGCUCAACCGCGGGAUUGCUUUUGGAACUGUCAUGCUAGAGUGCAGGAGGGGUGAGCGGAAUUCCUAGUGUAGCGGUGAAAUGCGUAGAUAUUAGGAGGAACACCGGAGGCGAAGGCGGCUCACUGGACUGUAACUGACACUGAGGCUCGAAAGCGUGGGGAGCAAACA
rnacentral:rRNA from 1 species